rnacentral:rRNA from 1 species
UACGUAGGGUGCGAGCGUUUAAUCGGAAUUACUGGGCGUAAAGUGUGCGCAGGCGGCGUCGCAAGUCGAGUGUGAAAGCCCCGGGCUUAACUUGGGAAUUGCGCUCGAAACUACGAUGCUGGAGUGUGGCAGAGGAAGGUGGAAUUCCACGUGUAGCGGUGAAAUGACGUAGAUAUCUGGAGGAACACCGGUGGCGAAGGCGGCACUCGACGG